UCAACUACAAAUUCAAUGACAAAGACAUUGAGGAUAUUGUCAAAGAAAAAGACAGAUUCCGAAAGGCUCCACCAAACUACGCCAUGAAGAAAACGCAGCUUCUCAAAGAGAAGGCCAUGGCUGAGGAGAGUGGUGAUGGAGAGAAGGUAAAAGUACUGCAAGACCAGUUGAAUGAGCUGGAGGAGAGGGCAGAAGCACUUGACCGACAGAGAACCAAAAAUAUCUCUGCCAUCAGGUCAGAAACACACAUACACUACUACU